GACAAACGCUGGCGGCGUGCCUAACACAUGCAAGUCGAGCGCGAAAGGGACUUCGGUCCCGAGUAAAGCGGCGAACGGGUGAGUAACACGUGGGCAACCUGCCUCAAGGACUGGGAUAACACCGGGAAACCGGUGCUAAUACCGGGCGAUGUCGUCUGACGCAAGUCGGCCGACCAAAUGGUAGCUUCGGCCUCCGCCUUGAGAUGGGCCCGCGUCCUAUCAGCUUGGUGGUGAGGUAAUGGCUCACCAAGGCUACGACGGGUAGCUGGUCUGAGAGGAUGAUCAGCCACACUGGGACUGAGAUACGGCCCAGACUCCUACGGGAGGCAGCAGUGGGGAAUUUUGCGCAAUGGGCGAAAGCCUGACGCAGCAACGCCGCGUGAGCGAAGAAGGCCUUCGGGUUGUAAAGCUCUGUCAGGGGGAAAGAAGGCACCUGGGUUAAUAGCCCAAGGGCUGACGGUACCCCCAAAGGAAGCCACGGCUAACUACGUGCCAGCAGCCGCAGUAAUAC
rnacentral:rRNA from 1 species